ensembl:ncRNA asRNA:CR45132 antisense RNA:CR45132
GUUGCUGCGUUGUCUUCUCUCUUUUCUCUCGGUGUGUGGUUGUUGUUGCUCUGCCCUGUGUUGUGUUCUCCAAAUUUUACUCCGAAUCUAUCAAUCGAAUUAGGUAUCACGCACUCCUAUUUUCAAAUCAUAACGCCGACUGCUUCCAAUAAAUAAACACUGUAUUUAUUUGUGUUUUUGUAAUUUAAAACGCAAAAGUACAACCCAACACACACGGAUGUUCGAGUUACAGCCAGUGUGACCGCGCCAGAGUGAGAACAAUAUGCAGAAUAGGUUUUAAAUAUACCAAGAAAAUACCAUUGAACACUUUCGUAUGUGAUGUGCGCACUUGGGGUAUUCCUAAAACUGAAGCGAUCCAAAGGCGGAAAUGACAGUGCCCUUGGUGCCCGUAACCGUGGUGGUUAGAGCCGGAAGAGUGGUCUUAACAACGGUUGACGAAGGUGCCGGUUGAUCCCACUUGGAUUUGCUGCAGGACGAAGUCGAAUUAACAAAUGAAUUCAAUAAAUACAGUAGAUUAAAUGC